CUUGCUAAUUCCGAACAUUUUUGAUAGUCCUUCAGCACGCGACCAACAUAAAUUGGCUGAUCGUAGCACGGGGCCGGUCCCCCUCUGAUAUUAUCGAUACAUGUGUCUCAAAGUUUAUGUCCAGGUCCAUCGAAUGCUUGCUAAGUAAAAACAAGGUAUGAAGCAGCGCACUGGGGACGUGCCUGCAGACGGCAAAGCCAGUUCGCCUAUC
rnacentral:lncRNA from 1 species